rnacentral:rRNA from 1 species
UACAGAGGUCUCAACCGUUGUUCGGAUUCAUUGGGCGUAAAGGGUGCGUAGGCGGUCGCGCAAGUCGGAUGUGAAAUCUUAGGGCUCAACCCUGAAACUGCAUUCGAUACUGCGUGGCUCGAGUACUGGAGAGGAGACUGGAAUUUACGGUGUAGCAGUGAAAUGCGUAGAUAUCAAGUGGAACACCAGUGGCGAAGGCGAGUCUCUGGACAUUUCCUGACGCUGAGGCACGAAAGCCAGGGGAGCAAACGGG